CAGCCUCUUCCCUGAGGAGUUCUGCAGGUCUCGUUGGGUGCCCUUAUUCUGGCUGCAGGGACAAAAAGGCUGGGGAGCUUAUGAGAGUUGCAGGGAGAGAGCUUUACAUCAUGCCAGUAACUGCAGUGUCAGAGCUAAGUCAAUGGCUAAGAUAUUGCAGGAAUGUCAUGCAAUAGCUUGGCCCAGAACAGGCUCCCCUACCUUGCACCUCUAAGUGUUCAAGAACCUUGUCCUGUCUUCACUGAAAGCACGACCACAGUUUAGAGAACUGCUCACAAUCCCUAAGUAGCCCUUGCACUUCCAAGAGAAAGCAUGUACAAGCUGAAUGAAAUUAUCUACUAAAGCAUGAGAAGCUCUUAAAGAUCACAGACUGAAGAAUAGGCAAGAUUAGGACUCCACUGAUGAGCUGAGCAAUGCCUAUUUCCUGUUUGCAAGGAUCAGAAGAUGAAGCACAUGAAUUUCAUCCUGAACACACAUUAUUUCUUGCUUGAUAUGAAGUGUACCAUAUUUGUCUACAGUAAAAGCAAGAAGUCUGAAAAUAAAUAAAAAUAAUAUCCACAGUCUUCCAGCUGAGCAAAUCAACAAACUCUGGACUUCACAGUGGCAUCAGAUCUCUGAUGCAUUUAUGAGCAGUACAACCUUUAGCAUAAAGUUCACAACCAUUUACACAGGACAGAACUUGCCUUGAUUGUCAAUCAAUUUAGCUGCUGUUGCUUAUGAAAAAAAUUGGAUGUGACUGCAAGCAACUUGAGGACAUUCUUUGUAUCACCUUUAAUUCUAAAUAUGCUGCUCCUGUUAAGGACAAAGAAUGACACCUAAAGUUCAAAUGCUCAUGCAGGUAGACAAGUCUGUGAAAGCCAUUCUCCUCUCUAGCCCUCUUUGAUGCCAAAGUGAGUUUCCCUGACAGAAAUGUAAGUGGAAGUGUAUGUUGGCAUUUUACUCAUAUAUGGUCAGGCAGUUUUUAAACACUAGUAGGAUAAUAAUUUUCUCCAUUACAUAAACCUAUACGAUGACUGAUACACCUUAAAAAAUGAAUAGAAGGAUGGAUUAAAUUGAGGGGGAAAAAAUAACAUCAUAGGCAUUAAUGUCAAGCCCAUGUUAUUUGAAAAGGGAAAGAGAGGAAAGAUUAAAUUAAUUGUAUUUUAAGCUAUAUUUUAAAUUUAGCAACUGAACGUGACAUGAAUUUAGCUUCAACGUGACCUUCAGAAAAAAGCAUGACUAUUACUUGGUGUUGUCUUUCAUUUUACUUACAGCCAUCACAAAUUGCAACUUCCCCUAUUUUCUGCACAAUCUCUCCUCUUGGCACUUAGUUCUGAAUUAUUGCAAGCCUCCUUUCAACUGCUUUAACAAAACAAACUAUGUCUUAGACACAUCAGAGAUUGCUGCAAUGGUUAUUUUCUUUGCCUGUCAUUCUUACAAUGCUACUCCGCUCUGUGUUGAUGCAGUCCCUUCUCUAUGGCAUCGUAUACAGAACAUUUGCCCUCAGCUGCAGUAUUUUAUGAUUCCUCAUGGAUUUCAUUUCUAACAACAUCUUUCAGACAGAUUCUUUGCAUCACCUAUUUACUUAGUAAAAGCUCCCAAGAAACAUAUAAAUCUAAUAUAUAGUUUUCUUUUAAAACCUUCCCCUUUGUUUAGGAUUUUACUUACUACAAAGCCUAGCAAAAUCAGUGAAGGUACGUCAGAUUCUGGUAUGCCAAUAUGACUUCUACUGAUCCUACAUAAUUCCUCUUUGUUUCCCAUUCUAUUUGCUCUAUGGGAAU